GGGGGCUCGCGUGUCUAAAUCAAUUUUUUUAUUAAUAUAGGAUUUCUCUAUAUUUUUCUGUAAAUUAACUUUAUCUUAUACUUAAUAGAAAAAUGAAAUAAAAAAAUGGGGUCACCGUUCAUUUACGCUCACAAUCAGACUCCGAAAAAAGCAUACCUUUUUGUUAUUGUCCUUUUUUUCUGUUGAACUAAUAGGAGAAAUAGCGGUAAUAUCGAAAUAACAAAAGAACUAAAUUACAGAAAUCGCUUAAAUUUUAGUAUUAUUUACCUUAUAUACAGCUUAUUCGAAAACAGCAAUAAAAAAUAUAGGUCACCGAUGAGUUAAAAGAGACAUUUCAAUUUUAAUACGAAAAAAUGGCAUUUUUGCACCAAAAGGGAGAUAAUUUUGAGCUUUUUUAAUGAUAUCUAUGCAUUUUUAAAGUCACCUUGGGCCAACACGAAUUGAUUUUUGGGAAUGAUUUUUGUACUAUAUGAUAAAGUAACAACUACUUGAGGCAAUAAAAAACAUUUGUAAUAAAAAAUUAAUGUUUAAUUUUUUUCUGAAAAUCUAAUACCCGCGAGCCUCCUUAAGGAGUUAUUGCCCUUUAUAGUCAUUUUUUACCAGUUUUCGUAAAUUUUUGUAAUUUUCUACAAAAAUCUUCUCCUCUGAAACUACUGGGCCAAAUUUGAUCAAACUUAGCCACAAUCAUUAUUAGGGUAUCUAGUUUACAAAAUGUGUGCAACGACCCGGCCAACCACCCAAGAUGGCCGCCAUAACUAAAAACAGAAUGAGGGGUAAAAUGUAGAUUUUGGCUUAUAACUUUGAAACCAAAGCAUUUAAAGCAAAUGUGACAAGCAGUUAAAUUGUUUAUCAAGUUAGUAUCUAUCUGCCCUGACAUUUUCAGAUGAAUUGGACAACUGAUUGUUGGGUUGCUGUCCCCC
rnacentral:lncRNA from 1 species